rnacentral:lncRNA from 1 species
AUGAUUCCUGGUUCCCAUUACAUCCCCACAACUUGGGAGUCUGCUCGGCUAGCGGGGAAGAGCAUUCCAAUUUGGCAGGGAUGGUUCCAGGUCUGGAUGACCUGCCGCCAGCCACCAGGCUGGUCUCUCUUCCAAGCCAACGUGGUGUACACUUUGCCGGAGGCUGCCGGCAGCUGUUCAGCCCACGGCAGCCCCUCCCCCUGGAGUCCUGACACCUGCCUUGGUUUCCGGGCAGGUGCCUUCCACACCUGGUCUCCAGGCUCCAAACACCCGCCCAAGCGGACUGGUUCCGCUUUCCACUUGGGUCAAGGAGCCCCUCCUCCUCUUUGGGGCACCCUGGGGAGCAGCAGCUGGGGAGACAUUGUCACCACUGUGGCUGGUCCCAGGCCUGACUCACUUAUCCACAGCUUCCCUGUCCACAGCUUCCUCCCCGCCACACCCUGUGACCCUCGGAAGAUGACAGCGCAAGCACACCGCUGUCCACCACUGAUCAUCACAUUAUACUCAGGCUGGUCUCCCAUCCCACUUCAUCCCUUUUGUCACGCCUUUAAAAAAAUGUACACAUUUAUUUUCAUUUUAUUUGAAAAGCACAGAGACACACAGAGAGAUCUCUUACCUGUUUGUUCACUCCCCAAGAGAGAAGUAACAGCCGGAGCCAGGGCCAAAUCCAGGAACCUGAAGCCCCAUCUGGGUCUCCCACAUGGGUACCAGGGACUCAAGGACCUAAGACAUCACCUGCUACCUCCCAGGAUGUGCAGUAGCAGGAAGCUGGAGCGGGGAGUGGAGCCGGAACUUGAAACCAGGGCCCGGAUGUGGGAUGCAGGUGUCCUGCACCCACCCUCUUGUCCACCUCCGCUUGGACAGAGACACUGUUGUUGCUUCCCACCUGGCAGAACAGGCAUUCACAGCUCCCAGGGACCUGCCAGGACCACCACACACUCACUAGGACAGGAGACAGUGGACCCUGCUGCUGUCCGGUCCCAAGCCACACACGGCUCUGUAUUUGACAGCCUUCUCUCCGGGAGUACUUGCUAA